UCUUUCCCAGAUCAACCGGAGAGCAAGAAGCUGGCCUCCCAGGGAGACUCAAUCAGUUCUCAACUUGGACCCAUCCAUCCUCCCCCAAGGACCUCAAUGACAGAAGAGUACAGGGUCCCAGACGGCAUGGUGGGCCUGAUCAUUGGCAGAGGAGGUGAACAAAUUAACAAAAUCCAACAGGAUUCAGGCUGCAAAGUACAGAUUUCUCCAGACAGCGGUGGCCUACCCGAGCGCAGUGUGUCCUUGACAGGAGCCCCAGAAUCUGUCCAGAAAGCCAAGAUGAUGCUGGACGACAUUGUGUCUCGGGGUCGUGGGGGCCCCCCAGGACAGUUCCACGACAACGCCAACGGGGGCCAGAACGGCACCGUGCAGGAGAUCAUGAUCCCCGCGGGCAAGGCCGGCCUGGUCAUUGGCAAGGGCGGGGAGACCAUUAAGCAGCUGCAGGAACGCGCUGGAGUGAAGAUGAUCUUAAUUCAGGACGGAUCUCAGAAUACGAAUGUGGACAAACCUCUCCGCAUCAUUGGGGAUCCUUACAAAGUGCAGCAAGCCUGUGAGAUGGUGAUGGACAUCCUCCGGGAACGUGACCAAGGCGGCUUUGGGGACCGGAAUGAGUACGGAUCUCGGAUUGGCGGAGGCAUCGAUGUGCCAGUGCCCAGGCAUUCUGUUGGCGUGGUCAUUGGCCGGAGUGGAGAGAUGAUCAAGAAGAUCCAGAAUGAUGCUGGCGUGCGGAUACAGUUCAAGCAAG
rnacentral:sRNA from 1 species